rnacentral:tRNA from 1 species
GGGUCCUUAGCUCAGCUGGGAGAGCGCCUGCAUGGCAUGCAGGAGGUCGCGUGUUCAAGUCACGUAGGAUCCA